GAUACCUAUAUGGCCUAAUAUUAACAGGUUGGGCAGAAGGUACCAGGGGAAUACAGUGAUUAUGACUUCUGAAUGGUGGCAAGACCUUAGAGUCCUGAAAAAUACCAUGAUAUCUAUCCAGUAACAGCUGCAAUUCAGGUGGAUAAUUGACAACUGUAGGAGACCCUGCCAUAGCAGCACACUGAGUAACAGAAGAUGGCAGCUGAGAAAAUUGAAUAGAAAAUAAUGGAGUUUGGAAAUCCCCUCCAUAUUUAUGUCCCAAUUGAUCACCAUUCACACAAUUCAACUGCUGACACUGGGAAAUUGAAUCAGUAAUACCUUGCAACACUAUCCUCACUCCUGCCUUGUGAAAACUAACUGAAGAAUUUUGAAAAUCAAAUAAUAUGGGAUUAAAAGUCUUCAUGCAAUCCACACCCAAUAUCAUAUCAAAACUCCCCAUUUCCAACAGCCUAAAAUCAAAACUGAAAGAAUGUUUAUGAAUUUUCCAGUUAAAAGCAGGGCACAUGGUGGUACUUAAAAUUUUCCUUCCAUCAGCCACUGCUAGAGCAAAAACAUCGAAAGCCACCAAAGGCACCUUCAAUUCUCUUGCUACCUUAGCAUCUAGAAAACUGUUGGUGCUACUACUGUCAAUUAAAAUCA
rnacentral:misc_RNA from 1 species